ACUUUUCGUUUUUUUUUUUUUCCCUCUUCUUCUUCCUUUCCUCUCCAGCGUCGGCCUAACCCUCGCCCUCUCCUCCUCUCGUUUUUCGAUCACCGGAGACCGGUGCAACGCCUUGCCGCCGCUCUCUCUCUGUCUCUCUUUUCCGUCUAGCGAUAGUGCAGUAACGAUAGUGAGCUGUGUUUCUUUCCAAACGAGACAGCUCUUCCCCUUCGUUUCAUUUUGCCGGCGACUCCACCACCAUAAACGUCAGCUCCACCUCUCUCUCUGGUCUCUCUUUCUUUCUGGUCUGGGUUCGUUUAGCGCAGUAAAGAGGAAGAGUGCGGGCUAUGCUUUCCAAUCGUCACAGCCCGUGCUUUCCAUUUCUUUUUUUUGCCGGUGAGACCAGCCAAUUACCGGCCAGUUUAGACCUCCUGCUUCAUCACCGGUCCUCCUCUGUCCUCUGUCUUUCCCAUUUUCCGGAUUAGAUGGGGCGCAGCAGCAAAAUAGCCAGAGAGACUUGUGAUUUGUGACUGUUGAUCCGGAAACUCGAGUCCUCCGACGUGUUUUGCAAUUUAUUGUGAUGGAGUUGUUGGAAGUUGAUUCAAGAAUUGGUCCUGCAGAAUCUUCUCAAUUACUGCUCUGCUCCUAAAAUUUCUGGUUUCAGUUAAUAAGAUAAGUUUGUUAUUAGUGGCAUAAUAAUUGAGCUUUAUUGAGUAUUUUUAGCUAUUUUAGUUAACUUUGUAAGCCUAUAUAAAGGCACUUCAAUUCUUGAAUUUAAUAUACUGUAGAACUCAUCCAUUUUCUGCAUUUGUGAGUUCAUCUGCAAUUGCAGCAUUUUUGUUUCUUUUAA